rnacentral:lncRNA from 1 species
GAUCUCCAGACAGCAUUGCUGUUAACUUCUAGGAGCCCUCCAUUACUAAAACCCAGAAGUCAUCAAGGUCCAGCAACCUGAGUUUACCACACGUAUAGGUUCCACAAAGUGGGAGGAAAACUUUUAAUAUCACUGACACAAUCUCUGAACAUAGUGCUGGGCAAUAACUGGUUAACCUAAACAAGAACAGUUUCUUCAGUACUAAGUGGGGAACAGAGGACAAGCUUGAUGCCCUGAAGUGAAAUGAUUGGCAGCCAAGGACACACACACUCCUCCAGCAGAUUAUUGUAAAAUCUACAAAGAGAAUAUCAGUGGAUCAUUGGAAUUUCACCUAGAUUUUUCUCAUCAAACUGCCCACACAUUUUAUUCCUGUUGGAUGGAGAGGAGGUCGUGAGUGGGUAUCUGGAAGGACGUAGCAAACAUGGCUGUGCAGUGGGCCUUGAAGGAUGGAAACCACUUCCUGAGGAUGGUGAACUGGCAAGACAGGAACCUUGGUUACUGAGAUGAAGAUGCUGUAUCAACCCUGGAUGGCCUCCUUCCUCUGAACUUAUUCCAGUAAUUAAAAGUUGUCCAUAUAAGAAAAUAUGGAAAAGUAUGAAGAAGUCUGGAAAAAGAGGGAAUAGAUCCAGAAAUCCCAGGGAAAUAAUUACCUCACACUAGAUCAAGUCAUGGAGAUCUUGUGAAUUCACCACUGAGCAAGAAGCAAAGCCAUUUGUCA